GGGGGGCAUGCCUGUCCGAGCCUUCAUU
rnacentral:rRNA from 1 species